rfam:Corchorus capsularis cultivar CVL-1 contig10340, whole genome shotgun sequence.
GAAGUUUUUAACUUCCCUCAAAGGCUUCCAAUAUUCUAAGCCAUUUUCAAAAUCAGAUGGGGGAACGUUGGAAGUCUUCGAGGGAAAUUGAAGACUG